rnacentral:misc_RNA from 1 species
AACUCGUUAAUACCUAACUAUUGUCUACUAAUUAUUACUUAUAACAAUAUUACUAUCUAUAUUAUGUCUGUAUAUUAUGAUUAUUUUGUUAGUUAUAAUGUGAAGGUAUCUGUUUUUCAACGAAUUUAACGAACUCAUUAUUUGUUAAUACUUUUUGUAUACAUUGUACCCAAUUAAAUAGUUCAUCAACUGUGUCGUUUUUAGUUGUUGAAUAAUAUUUAAAUAAAUCCAAUACCAAGGUGUUACCUGUUCAAAACGUUUUAUUCAAAUAUUCUACAUGCCUAUGAAGUAUGAAUAGAAUGUUUUUAUUCUGAAGUUGGAGUCGGCGACUGAGAUAUGAACAUCGCAGUAGUUAAUUCCAUUGGUUUUUUUGAAUAGGAAUUUAACUUAUAUUUACAACAGUGGAUUUGUUUUCUACAAAAAUGCCUCAUCAUUACGGUCUAGAAAUUACUACACAGAUUCGGCCCGAAAAGAAGCUGACUAAAGAUGCUAUGGAAAGAUAUUUACUUGAUCGCAACGACUUGGUUUUAGUUAUCCUUCAUGCUAAAGUUGCUCAAAAGUCUUAUGGCACUGAAAAACGUUUUUUUUGUCCACCUCCAUGUGUCUAUCUUUUUGGCAAAGGUUGGAAGUUACGUCAACAACAGUUGCUUAGAGAAGGAGUGACUGAAACUAAUUCUCAAAUGAGUGCAUUCAUAGGUAUUGGUAGUGCAGAUCAAGAUUUGCAACCACUGGAUCUUAAUAAUAUUAAACAGUAUUGUGCUGCUAAAACUUUAUUUAUAUCUGAUUCUGAUAAGCGCAAGCACUUUAUGCUUAUGGUUAGAAUGUUCUACAACAAUGGAUACGACAUUGGAACCUUCCACAGUAAACGAAUCAAAGUAAUAUCUAAACCUUCAAAAAAAAAACAAUCCUUGAAAAACGCUGAUUUAUGUAUAGCUAGUGGUACAAAAGUAGCACUGUUCAAUAGGCUUAGAUCACAAACAGUGAGCACCCGAUAUUUACAUGUUGAAAAUGGAACCUUCCAUGCCAGUUCAACAGAGUGGGGAGCUUUUAUCAUUUACUUAUUGGAUGAUGAUGAAAGUGAAAGUGACAUGUUCAAUGUUCGAGAUGGUUACAUUCAUUAUGGCAGUACAGUAAAAUUGGUAUGCAGUGUUUCUGGAAUGGCUUUACCUCGACUAGUCAUCAGAAAAGUUGAUAAACAAACAGCAUUGCUAGAAGCUGAUGAUCCGGUGUCGCAAUUGCACAAAUGUGCUUUUUAUAUGAAAGACACUAAUCACAUGUAUUUAUGUUUAUCCCAAGAGCGUAUAACUAACUUCAAUGCCACACCAUGUCCAAAAGGGCCAAAUAAAGAAAUGAUCAACGAUGGAGCUUGUUGGACCAUCAUUAGUACAGACAAAGCGGAAUACCAAUUUUAUGAAGGAAUGGGACCCGUAAAUUCUCCUAUAACACCCGUACCAGUAGUGCAUGGACUUAACACUAAUGGUGGUGGUGAUGUGGCCAUGUUAGAAUUGAGUGGUGAAAAUUUUACACCACAUCUACAAGUAUGGUUUGGAAAUGUUGAGUCUGAAACUAUGUUUCGUUGCCAAGAGAGUAUGAUUGCAGUCGUACCAGAUAUCUCUUCAUUUAGAGGAGACUGGUCAUGGGUAAAACAGCUAACUCAAGUACCAGUUUCAUUAGUAAGAAAUGAUGGGAUUAUUUAUGCUACAGGAUUAACUUUUACAUAUACACCUGAGCCAGGUCCAAGAAACCGUGUAACACCAGCUGACAAAAUAAUGCGAACAUCUACUUCAAAAAAUAAUUUUUCACUAUCACAUAUCAUGAGUUGAUUAUAAAAAGGGUAUUUUUUUAAAUAGUAUUAUUUAUUUUACAGCCAACAGGGUAUAUGACUGAUAAUUGACUGAAUGAAACAACUAUACAAUGUUUUGACUUUUGAUAGUAAAGUAGUAAUAAUUAGUGGAGAUAUUUCAGGUUGGGAAAAAAUAUGUUUGUUCUACAUUAAAUAAUCUGGUAUUGGACAGUUAUUAAAUGAUAAAUAAAAUUGUAUGUAGUUGGCCCUCAUUUAAUUGUUGAGUACUCAAAAUAUCUCUAAUAAAAUGCCUAUUGAGACAAAUAUAUAUAUUGAAAUUUCUUUAAAAAACUAUACAUAUGUAAUAAUAUUGCUCAAAUUUU